ACACUCCUGCGGGAGGCAGCAGUGGGGAAUAUUGCACAAUGGGCGCAAGCCUGAUGCAGCCAUGCCGCGUGUAUGAAGAAGGCCUUCGGGUUGUAAAGUACUUUCAGCGGGGAGGAAGGCGAUAAGGUUAAUAACCUUGUUGAUUGACGUUACCCGCAGAAGAAGCACCGGCUAACUCCGUGCCAGCAGCCGCGGUAAUACGGAGGGUGCAAGCGUUAAUCGGAAUUACUGGGCGUAAAGCGCACGCAGGCGGUCUGUCAAGUCGGAUGUGAAAACCCCGGGCUCAACCUGGGAACUGCAUUCGAAACUGGCAGGCUAGAGUCUUGUAGAGGGGGGUAGAAUUCCAGGUGUAGCGGUGAAAUGCGUAGAGAUCUGGAGGAAUACCGGUGGCGAAGGCGGCCCCCUGGACAAAGACUGACGCUCAGGUGCGAAAGCGUGGGGAGCAAACAGGAUUAGAAACCCCAGUAGUCCC
rnacentral:rRNA from 1 species